AUGGCAAAGGUGCACCCCGACGCGGUCGUGGCGCUGCCAGAGGCGCCGGCUGCUGGCCACUCGCGGCCCGUAGGAGCUGGGGCCGAGGAGGAGGAGCCGCCGCCGGAGGCCAUGGCGCUGACCGUGUGGCGCAAGUCGCUGCUCUUCAACUGCGACGGCUUCACCGUCUUCGACGCCACCGGCGGCCUCGCCUUCCGCGUCGACUGUUACGGCACGUCCGGUCGCAGGCGCCGCCACGCGGAGGACGUCGUCCUCAUGGACGCCGCAGGGUUCCCGCUCCUCACCGUGCGGCGUAGAAGGCUCAGCCUGGCAGAGCACUGGGUCAUCUACGACGGCGACGGUGGCGAAGUCGACGCUCCGAAGCCGCUCCUCUCGGUUCGCCGCUGCCACGCCGGCUUGUUGCGCCACGCCCACGCGUCGUCGUCGUCCAAGCAGAAAGCGCUCGCGCACGUAACGCCUCUCACGCCGGCGUUGCGCGAGUCGUACGUGGUGGAGGGGUCGUACGCGCGGCGGUGCGUCGCGGUGCGGGACGCGCGCGGGGAGGCCGUGGUGGAGGUGCGGCGGAAGGAGUCGCCGGUGGGCGAUGAGGUGUUCCGGCUGGUGGUGCCGGACCCUCGCCGCCUUGGCACGCCGCUGGCCAUGGGGAUCGUCAUGGCCCUCGACGAGAUGUUCGGCAGCUCCGGGGCCGGCUGCUCCGCCGCUCGAUCACUGCUGCCGAGGAGCUGGUCGAUGUAG
rnacentral:rRNA from 1 species